UACGUAGGGGGCUAGCGUUGUUCGGAAUUACUGGGCGUAAAGCGUAUGUAGGCGGAUCGUUAAGUCGGGGGUGAAAUCCCGAGGCUCAACCUCGGAACUGCCUUCGAUACUGGCGAUCUUCGAGUCCGGGAGAGGUGAGUGGAACUCCGAGUGUAGAGGUGAAAUUCGUAGAUAUUCGGAAGAACACCAGUGGCGAAGGCGGCUCACUGGCCCGGUACUGACGCUGAAAUACGAAAGCGUGGGGAGCAAACAGG
rnacentral:rRNA from 1 species